rnacentral:rRNA from 1 species
CUACGGGAGGCAGCAGUAGGGAAUUUUCGUCAAUGGGCGCAAGCCUGAACGAGCAAUGCCGCGUGAACGAGGAAGGUCUUCGGAUCGUAAAGUUCUGUUGAAGGGGAAAAAGAGCGGAGAGAGGAAAUGGUCUCCGAUUGAUAUUACCCUUCGAGGAAGUCACGGCUAACUACGUGCCAGCAGCCGCGGUAAUACGUAGGUGGCGAGCGUUAUCCGGAAUGAUUGGGCGUAAAGGGUGCGUAGGCGGCCUGCUAAGUCUGGAGUGAAAGGGACCGGCUCAACCGGUACAGGCUCUGGAAACUGGC